rnacentral:rRNA from 1 species
AGAGUUUGAUCCUGGCUCAGAUUGAACGCUGGCGGCAUGCUUUACACAUGCAAGUCGAACGGCAGCACGGGGAGCUUGCUCCCGGGUGGCGAGUGGCGCACGGGUGAGUAACGCGUAUCCAACCUGCCCACCACUUGGGGAUAACCUUGCGAAAGUAAGACUAAUACCCAAUGAUAUCUCUAGAAGACAUCUGAAAGAGAUUAAAGAUUUAUCGGUGAUGGAUGGGGAUGCGUCUGAUUAGCUUGUUGGCGGGGUAACGGCCCACCAAGGCGACGAUCAGUAGGGGUUCUGAGAGGAAGGUCCCCCACAUUGGAACUGAGACACGGUCCAAACUCCUACGGGAGGCAGCA